UCCCGUUGUUCCCAUUGUUCCCAUUCCCAUUGUUCCCAUUCCCAUUCCCAUUCCCAUUGUUCCCAUUCCCAUUCCCAUUGUUCCCAUUCCCAUUGUUCCCAUUAUUCCCAUUGUUCCCAUUCCCGUUGUCAUUCCCGUUGUUGUUCCCAUUGUCAUUCCCGUUGUCAUUCCCGUUGUCAUUUCUGUUGUUCCCAUUCUCAUUCCCGUUGUUGUUCCCGUUGUUAUUCCCAGUCCGGCUGUUGUCUCCGACACCUCUCGCUGGCCGGGAACCACCUGAGGGACAGCGACGUCCAGGAGCUGACGGGGUCAGGGACACCUGGGGACACCUGGGGACA
rnacentral:lncRNA from 1 species